rnacentral:rRNA from 1 species
UGCCUAAUACAUGCAAGUCGAACGCACUCUCGUUUAGAUUGAAGGAGCUUGCUCCUGAUUGAUAAACAUUUGAGUGAGUGGCGGACGGGUGAGUAACACGUGGGUAACCUGCCCUAAAGUGGGGGAUAACAUUUGGAAACAGAUGCUAAUACCGCAUAAAACCUAACACCGCAUGGUGUAGGGUUGAAAGAUGGUUUCGGCUAUCACUUUAGGAUGGACCCGCGGUGCAUUAGUUAGUUGGUGAGGUAAAGGCUCACCAAGACCGUGAUGCAUAGCCGACCUGAGAGGGUAAUCGGCCACACUGGGACUGAGACACGGCCCAGACUCCUACGGAGGCAGCAGUAGGGAAUCUUCCACAAUGGACGAAAGUCUGAUGGAGCAACGCCGCGUGAGUGAAGAAGGUUUCGGAUCGUAAACUCUGUUGUUGGAGAAGAAUGUAUCUGAUAGUAACUGAUCAGGUAGUGACGGUAUCCAACCAGAAAGCCACGGCUAACUACGUG